GUAGGGAAUAUUGGGCAAUGGAGGCAACUCUGACCCAGCCAUGCCGCGUGCAGGAUGACGGCCCUCUGGGUUGUAAACUGCUUUUAUACGGGAAGAAAAAAUACUACGUGUAGUAUACUGACGGUACCGUAAGAAUAAGGAUCGGCUAACUCCGUGCCAGCAGCCGCGGUAAUACGGAGGAUCCAAGCGUUGUCCGGAUUUAUUGGGUUUAAAGGGUGCGUAGGCGGAUCUUUAAGUCAGUGGUGAAAGCCUGCAGCUUAACUGUAGAAUUGCCAUUGAAACUGAAGAUCUUGAAUGUGGUUAAAGUAGGCGGAAUGUAUCAUGUAGCGGUGAAAUGCUUAGAUAUGAUACAGAACACCGAUAGCGAAGGCAGCUUGCUGAACCAUUAUUGACGCUGAGGCACGAGAGCGUGGGGAGCGAACAGGAUUAGAAACCCGGGUAGUCC
rnacentral:rRNA from 1 species